GAGGGUGUAGCUUAGUGGUAUAGUGUAUGCCUAGUGUGCACAAGGUCCUGGGUUCAAUCCCCAGUAUCUCCA
rnacentral:tRNA from 1 species